UACGGAGGAGGCAAGCGUUAUCCGGAAUUAUUGGGCGUAAAGCGUCCGUAGGUGGUUGGCAAAGUCUGCUGUCAAAGGGGGGGGCUUAACCUCAUAAAGGCAGUGGAAACUGGCGAGCUAGAGUGCGGUAGGGGUAGGGGGAAUUCCCAGUGUAGCGGUGAAAUGCGUAGAGAUUGGGAAGAACAUCGGUGGCGAAAGCGCCCUGCUGGGCCUGCACUGACACUGAGGUACGAAAGCUAGGGGAGCGAAAGGG
rnacentral:rRNA from 1 species